rnacentral:rRNA from 1 species
AGAGUUUGAUCCUGGCUCAGAACGAACGCUGGCGGCAUGCCUAAUACAUGCAAGUCGAACGAGAUCUUCGGAUCUAGUGGCGCACGGGUGCGUAACGCGUGGGAAUCUGCCCUUGGGUUCGGAAUAACUUCUGGAAACGGAAGCUAAUACCGGAUGAUGACGUAAGUCCAAAGAUUUAUCGCCCAAGGAUGAGCCCGCGUAGGAUUAGCUAGUUGGUGGGGUAAAGGCCCACCAAGGCGACGAUCCUUAGCUGGUCUGAGAGGAUGAUCAGCCACACUGGGACUGAGACACGGCCCAGACUCCUACGGGAGGCAGCAGUGGGGAACAUUGGACAAUGGGCGAAAGCCUGAUCCAGCCAUGCCGCGUGUGUGAAGAAGGCCUUUUGGUUGUAAAGCACUUUAAGCGAGGAGGAGGCUACCGAGAUUAAUACUCUUGGAUAGUGGACGUUACUCGCAGAAUAAGCACCGGCUAACUCUGUGCCAGCAGCCGCGGUAAUACAGAGGGUGCGAGCGUUAAUCGGAUUUACUGGGCGUAAAGCGUGCGUAGGCGGCUUUUUAAGUCGGAUGUGAAAUCCCUGAGCUUAACUUAGGAAUUGCAUUCGAUACUGGGAAGCUAGAGUAUGGGAGAGGAUGGUAGAAUUCCAGGUGUAGCGGUGAAAUGCGUAGAGAUCUGGAGGAAUACCGAUGGCGAAGGCAGCCAUCUGGCCUAAUACUGACGCUGAGGUACGAAAGCAUGGGGAGCAAACAGGAUUAGAUACCCUGGUAGUCC